UACAGAGGUCCCGAGCGUUGUUCGGAUUCACUGGGCGUAAAGGGUGCGUACGGUGGCGCGGUAAGUCGGGUGUGAAAUUUCGGAGCUUAACUCCGAAACUGCAUUCGAUACUGCCGUGCUUGAGGACUGGAGAGGAGACUGGAAUUUACGGUGUAGCAGUGAAAUGCGUAGAGAUCGUAAGGAAGACCAGUGGCGAAGGCGGGUCUCUGGACAGUUCCUGACGCUGAGGCACGAAGGUCAGGGGAGCAAACGGG
rnacentral:rRNA from 1 species